rnacentral:lncRNA from 1 species
CGUGGAGGCUGGUUACCUAAUGCCUUGGCUGUUAAGUGCUCCGGUCUACCAAAACACUUGGCUCCCUAUCUUUUGGUCCUUUCCCAAGUUUCCCCAAAACAAGGUUUUGAAAACUCUGGACAUUUCCAUGCUUGAGGACAGCAUCUGCUUCUCCCCCGGUCUAGGAAAACAAAGGAUGAGUUUGUUGAACAAGUAACUCCUGAGUCUCCAUUUCAUGUUGAUAGGCAGAUCCUGGGAUGCAGCAGCCAGAAUUUACCAUCCAGCUCUGCCUUUGUGAUCCUUGAGUAAGGUAUUUAUUUUAUUUCUCAGGGUCUGAGCUUCCUAGUUUGUAAAAUGGGACUGAUAAUAACUGCUCCAUUCACUUCUGUGGGGUGGGGAGAGGCUAGGUUAAGACUAUGCAUGGAAACGUGCUGAGUCCCAACUCAGAGGCAAACUCAUUUCUUUCCCUGCUUCCUCCUCUUGAAGGCCACUGAAGGGAGGAAUCUCAGGGAAGGAAAGCCCUUCCAGAGCUCUGUCUCUGUCACCUGUCUGGGGAGACCCCUCCAGUGCAUUUUCAGUUCUGCCUUGUUCAGCCCAUAGCCUUGACUGUCAGCACCAGACCUCAGCCAGGCAGCCAGUAAUGCAGGUGUCAUUUGUCUGCAGAAGGUGAAAGAUUGGUCCAUGGGGUGGAAAACAGAGAGGUACUGGGCCAUGUGACCCUGACUAUUGGGGGCUGGGCAGCUCUUAGAAAGGAGCAGGCAGGGGGUGGGAUUUCUUGGAGGAGAGGGUCUCAGAGCUGAGUUCUCAAGGACAGAUAUGAGGUAGGUGAAGGGAUGAUGGAAGAGCAGACUAGGCAUGAAGGUAGGAUCUAAACACCAGUCCUGUCAUCCUGUAGCCUCUUCCUCUUUUAGUAUCUGUGGCCGUUAUAAUUAUCCCCUUUUCUGAUGACAGAAAAACUUUCUAUCACCUUCUGGAUUACUCUCCUCUAAAAUGUAUAACUAAUGGAUUUUUGGAAUUCAUGAUUCCUUUCCACUUUUAACAAAGCCCAGAUUCAACACUCAGCGAAGUUUGACCUCUCAAACCCUCCGUACCUUCCUCUCUUCUCCCUUUUUUUAUUGUGAAAAAUGGCACAUAGAGAAAAGUGCAUAAAACAAUAACACAUAUAAAUGACAUCAGUAUAUUAUAGAGCAAACACCCAGGUAACCACAACACAGGUCAAGAAAGGACAUUGCCAGCACCUCAGAAGCCCCA